CGGGCCGAUAUUUGUCUUUUUUUAAUAUAUCGGCAUCGGCCGAUAUCCUGCUGCUGCCGCAUGUGAAUUGAAACUUUUGGAAGAUUCAACAACAGUCCUGGGAGAUAAAGGUAGCCUAAGGCUUAAAUUCUGAUAUUUCAAAGUCCUAUGGCCAUAUAUUUACUAUAUAUUACUAGUAAACUAUGAAGUGUUGCUUCACUUAGUGAAAGAAACAACGGAUAGUAUAGAACCGUCGGGAACUGGCAUAAUGCUACAGCUGGUUGAAGGUUCGCUUACUUGUAGUUAACUUUAAGGACUGUAGUCCAAAACUACCAGCAGCUUGCUUGCUAACAUAUUAGCCCCAAUGUUAUAAGUUCUGUUUUAUUUUCCCUGUAUCGGAGUCAGAGAAUUUCACUCUGCUUGGGGUGGAGAAGGCGGCAGCUCUCACAAACACUGCAGCGUGAUUGAGGGCUACAUUACUCCGACAAAUAUUGUCAAUAUUAAGAGGAUUUGGCAUGUCCAAUUAAUGUAAGCCUGUUACAUUCUUCUAGUCUAUGAUUAUUACUAUUAGGUAAGCUACUUUUAUUAUUAAAUUAAUAUUAUAAUAAAUUUGCCCCGCAAUAAUUUCACAGCGCAUCACCGCAUAACUGACGUGCUGUGAGGAUAAUAAAAGAUUAGGCUAUCAGCUCCUCUUUGAAAAUGUUUUAAACAUUUUUUAGGUCUAUUAUACAAUGAAUAUUAACAGUCUAUAAUAUUUACUAACACUGCAGUCAUAAAUGAAAA